UUUGCUUCUGUGAUGUCUGGACGCGGCAAGCAGGGCGGCAAGGCUCGCGCCAAGGCCAAGACGCGCUCGUCCCGCGCCGGGCUGCAGUUCCCCGUGGGCCGCGUGCACCGCCUGCUGCGCAAGGGCAACUACGCCGAGCGCGUGGGCGCCGGCGCCCCGGUCUACCUGGCGGCCGUGCUCGAGUACCUCACGGCCGAGAUCCUGGAGCUGGCGGGCAACGCGGCGCGCGACAACAAGAAGACGCGCAUCAUCCCGCGACACCUGCAGCUGGCCAUCCGCAACGACGAGGAGCUCAACAAGCUGCUGGGCAAGGUCACCAUCGCGCAGGGCGGCGUGCUGCCCAACAUCCAGGCCGUGCUGCUGCCCAAGAAGACCGAGAGCCACCACAAGGCCAAGAGUAGCGGGUGAGCUCGAGACACCCAACUCUUAAAAGGUCUCAAGGCCGCCAAAACACGGAGUCUGCGGAUUACUCGAGUUAUCGUCUCCCAUUCUGGUGCAGAAGCCAGCUGACUGAGACGCAGGCCAGGCGUCCAAGGAAGAAAACCCGUGGUGCCCCUGUGUGAGCCUUGGGUUCCACGUAAGUAGAUGUUGAGAGGAAAUUUUGAGGUGCAAGCUGUUUGCCAGGGCUCAACACUACACCUGUGAAGGUAGGAUUGGGCAAAAAAGGUCCAGCUGAGAUCCAGGCCAAACAGCCCAGUGGAGAGAUCAGGAGGGAGAUGGUAUCACCAGGCAAAGUCCCAACCUGCCUCUCGCUGGUCUCUGGUUUUUAGUGUCACUCUCUGAGGCUGGUCCUAGGAACGCAGUGCCCCUGAGGGAGAGCAGCCCUGCAGCGGGGCCAACACCCAAGGAGCCACAGCUGCUGCCUAUCUGCAGGGUGUGUGCAAGCACGAUUCCUUCCGGGUUCAGCACUAUCUCCAUGUGUCUGACGCACACCAGUGUGUGUGUGUGUGUGUGUGUGUGUGUACACCAGCGUAGAGUAACCUCCAGAGGGGAUCUGUGCAACAUGCUGACUUCUUUCUGUAUGAGGGCCCGAACUCAUGACCUUGCUCUAAGCUGUGU